GAUGAAGAAUGCAGCGAAAUGCGAUAAGUAAUGUGAAUUGCAGAAUUCAGUGAAUCAUCGAAUCUUUGAACGCACAUUGCGCCCCCUGGUAUUCCGGGGGGCAUGCCUGUUCGAGCGUCAUUUCACCACUCAAGCCUCGCUUGGUAUUGGGCAACGCGGUCCGCCGCGUGCCUCAAAUCGACCGGCUGGGUCUUCUGUCCCCUAAGCGUUGUGGAAACUAUUCGCUAAAGGGUGUUCGGGAGGCUACGCCGUAAAACAACCCCAUUUCUAAGGUUGACCUCGGAUCAGGUAGGGAUACCCGCUGAACUUAAGCAUAUCAAUAAGCGGAGGA
rnacentral:misc_RNA from 1 species